CUGAAAUUUGCCGACACCCCAAGUCAAGGACUGGAACACUGCCUCCCGUUGCAUGGGCGAAAUACCUCGCGGACAUGUCUUACGGCGCCCCAUGAAAGCAUCACCAUUAAUCUGACCAGUCACUGCAGCAUGAGUAUCUUCAGGGCACAGAUGAAGCCAUGGGCACCAGUGAUAAGGAGUUGCCACUGCUGGCUAAGUGCGGAGCCUCACACAUCUGUGGCCCAGAAACCCAUACCCCACUCCAAACCCUCUAUAGCUCCAACAGUUAUGCUAACAAGAAAAAGGAGUGAAAACCCGCUCCAGUCACGGUAUUGUGGAGGUGGAAGGACACUUGUGGCAGCCAAUCCAACACCUCCAUUUUAUAGCUGGGGUAAACAUAGUUCAGAGAGGUUGUCCCACUUGCUGAAAGUCACACAGCAGUUCCUGGGCGGCAAAGUGAGGACAUCCAGGUCUCCUAAAUCUCACCCUCGUGCUCUGCCCACUUAACUAGGCUUUUCAAUCCUGGCUGUCAAAGAGAAGCACCAAGUCCACUUGGGCUCCUGGCCAGCAUCCAGGCCAGUCCAACUCAACAGCAAGCGGAAGCAAAUACCACACAAUGAACUUGUUGAACAGACUCUGUGCUCAGGCUUAACCAGUGCACAGCCUGUACACC
rnacentral:lncRNA from 10 species